UCUCCUGUAGCUCAGCGAUAGAGCGUCCGACCGGUGCGCGGAAGCCUAUCAUAGGUUCGACUCCUGUUGGGAGAG